rnacentral:rRNA from 1 species
AUUGAACGCUGGCGGCAGGCCUAACACAUGCAAGUCGAACGGUAACAGGAAGAAGCUUGCUUCUUUGCUGACGAGUGGCGGACGGGUGAGUAAUGUCUGGGAAACUGCCUGAUGGAGGGGGAUAACUACUGGAAACGGUAGCUAAUACCGCAUAACGUCGCAAGACCAAAGAGGGGGACCUUCGGGCCUCUUGCCAUCGGAUGUGCCCAGAUGGGAUUAGCUAGUAGGUGGGGUAACGGCUCACCUAGGCGACGAUCCCUAGCUGGUCUGAGAGGAUGCCCAGCCACACUGGAACUGAGACACGGUCCAGACUCCUACGGGAGGCAGCAGUGGGGAAUAUUGCACAAUGGGCGCAAGCCUGAUGCAGCCAUGCCGCGUGUAUGAAGAAGGCCUUCGGGUUGUAAAGUACUUUCAGCGGGGAGGAAGGGAGUAAAGUUAAUACCUUUGCUCAUUGACGUUACCCGCAGAAGAAGCACCGGCUAACUCCGUG